GAAAUGCGAUACGUAAUGUGAAUUGCAGAACUCAGUGAAUCAUCAAAUCUUUGAACGCAAAUUGCACUAAUAGUAAUAUUAGUACAUUUAUUUGAGUGUCGUUUAAUAAUCUAAUCAUUAUUAUAAUGAAUGUCUAUUUUUAGUCAUUUUAACAUCAUAUAAUCCAAUAAUUGUAAAAUCAUUUAUCAUAAUUGGAAAAUAUAAUAUCACAUUCGACCUCAAAUUAAAUGAGAUUACCCGCUGAAUUUAA
rnacentral:misc_RNA from 1 species